GAACGCUGGCGGCGUGCCUAAUACAUGCAAGUCGAACGCUUCUUUUUCCACCGGAGCUUGCUCCACCGGAAAAAGAGGAGUGGCGAACGGGUGAGUAACACGUGGGUAACCUGCCCAUCAGAAGGGGAUAACACUUGGAAACAGGUGCUAAUACCGUAUAACAAUCAAAACCGCAUGGUUUUGAUUUGAAAGGCGCUUUCGGGUGUCGCUGAUGGAUGGACCCGCGGUGCAUUAGCUAGUUGGUGAGGUAACGGCUCACCAAGGCCACGAUGCAUAGCCGACCUGAGAGGGUGAUCGGCCACACUGGGACUGAGACACGGCCCAGACUCCUACGGGAGGCAGCAGUAGGGAAUCUUCGGCAAUGGACGAAAGUCUGACCGAGCAACGCCGCGUGAGUGAAGAAGGUUUUCGGAUCGUAAAACUCUGUUGUUAGAGAAGAACAAGGACGUUAGUAACUGAACGUCCCCUGACGGUAUCUAACCAGAAAGCCACGGCUAACUACGUGCCAGCAGCCGCGGUAAUACGUAGGUGGCAAGCGUUGUCCGGAUUUAUUGGGCGUAAAGCGAGCGCAGGCGGUUUCUUAAGUCUGAUGUGAAAGCCCCCGGCUCAACCGGGGAGGGUCAUUGGAAACUGGGAGACUUGAGUGCAGAAGAGGAGAGUGGAAUUCCAUGUGUAGCGGUGAAAUGCGUAGAUAUAUGGAGGAACACCAGUGGCGAAGGCGGCUCUCUGGUCUGUAACUGACGCUGAGGCUCGAAGCGUGGGGAGCAAACAGG
rnacentral:rRNA from 1 species